GAUGAAGAACGUAGCGAAAUGCGAUACUUGGUGUGAAUUGCAGAAUCCCGUGAACCAUCGAGUCUUUGAACGCAAGUUGCGCCCGAAGCCAUUAGGCCGAGGGCACGCCUGCCUGGGUGUCGCACGUCGUUGCCCCCCCAUCUACUCCUUCGGGAUUGCGGGGGGCGGAUGAUGGCCUCCCGUGCGCCUCGUCGCGCGGUUGGCAUAAAUGCCAAGUCCUCGGCGACGCACGCCACGACAAUCGGUGGUUGCGAAACCUCGGUUGCCCGUCGUGUGCGGUCGUCGCGCAUCGAGGGCUCGAAAAAAUUGCCGGGCUCCGGCUCGGCUUUCAACGCGACCCCAGGUCAGGCGGGGUUACCCGCUGAAUUUAAGCAUAUCAAUAAGCGGAGGA
rnacentral:misc_RNA from 1 species